GACGAACGCUGGCGGCGUGGAUUAGGCAUGCAAGUCGAACGGUAUCAUCCUUUCGGGGGUGAGAGAGUGGCGAACUGGUGAGUAACACGUAGGUUAUCUACCCUCAAGACGGGGACAACCCAGGGAAACUUGGGCUAAUACCGGAUGUGAGCAACUUUUAGUUGUUUGAAAGGUGGCGUAAGCUGUCGCUUGGGGAUGAGCCUGCGUCCUAUUAGUUAGUUGGUGAGGUAACGGCUCACCUAGGCAAUGAUAGGUAGGCGGCCUUAACGGGUGGUCGCCCACACUGGGAUUGAGAUACGGCCCAGACUCCUACGGGAGGCAGCAGUCGAGAAUAGUCUACAAUGGUCGGAAGACUGAUAGUGCGACGCCGCGUGAACGAUGAAUCCCUUCGGGGUGUAAAGUUCUUUUAUAUGUGAGCAGUGCUUCUUAUAUUAACAGUAUGGGGAGAGAGAUAUUAGCAUAUGAAUAAGCAACGGCUAACUCCGUGCCAGCAGCCCGCGGUAAU
rnacentral:rRNA from 1 species